UUUUGACCUCGGAUCAGGUAGGGAU
rnacentral:rRNA from 1 species